rnacentral:rRNA from 1 species
UGAGCAAUCUGCCCUUCUCAUCGGAAUAAGCGUUGGAAACGACGUCUAAUGCCGAAUACGACCUCCUUUCGCAUGAUCGGAGGUGGAAAGCUCCGGCGGAGAAGGAUGAGCUCGCGGCCUAUCAGCUAGUUGGUGUGGGUAAUGGCCCACCAAGGCGACGACGGGUAGCCGGCCUGGAGAGGGUGACCGGCCACACUGAGACUGAGACACGGCCCAGACCUCCGUAGGGAGG